AACGCUGGCGGCGUGCCUAAUACAUGCAAGUCGAGCGAAGUUUUUCUGGUGCUUGCACUAGAAAAACUUAGCGGCGAACGGGUGAGUAACACGUAAAGAACCUGCCUCAUAGACUGGGACAACUGUUGGAAACGAUAGCUAAUACCGGAUAACAGCAUUAACUGCAUGGUUGAUGUUUAAAAGUUGGUUUUGCUAACACUAUGAGAUGGCUUUGCGGUGCAUUAGCUAGUUGGUGGGGUAAAGGCCUACCAAGGCGACGAUGCAUAGCCGACCUGAGAGGGUGAUCGGCCACACUGGGACUGAGACACGGCCCAGACUCCUACGGGAGGCAGCAGUAGGGAAUCUUCCGCAAUGGGCGAAAGCCUGACGGAGCAACGCCGCGUGAGUGAAGAAGGAUUUCGGUUCGUAAAGCUCUGUUGUUAGGGAAGAAUGAUUGUGUAGUAACUAUACACAGUAGAGACGGUACCUAACCAGAAAGCCACGGCUAACUACGUGCCAGCAGCCGCGGUAAUACGUAGGUGGCAAGCGUUGUCCGGAAUUAUUGGGCGUAAAGCGCGCGCAGGUGGUUUAAUAAGUCUGAUGUGAAAGCCCACGGCUCAACCGUGGAGGGUCAUUGGAAACUGUUAAACUUGAGUGCAGGAGAGAAAAGUGGAAUUCCUAGUGUAGCGGUGAAAUGCGUAGAGAUUAGGAGGAACACCAGUGGCGAAGGCGGCUUUUUGGCCUGUAACUGACACUGAGGCGCGAAAGCGUGGGGAGCAAACAGGAUUAGAUACCCUGGUAGUCCACGCCGUAAACGAUGAGUGCUAAGCGUUGGUCUCGUAAGAGAUCAGUGCUGCAGCUAACGCAUUAAGCA
rnacentral:rRNA from 1 species